rnacentral:rRNA from 1 species
UACGUAGGGUGCAAGCGUUUAAUCGGAAUUACUGGGUGUAAAGCGUGCGCAGGCGGUUAUGUAAGACAGAUGUGAAAUCCCCGGGCUCAACCUGGGAACUGCAUUUGUGACUGCAUAGCUAGAGUACGGUAGAGGGGGAUGGAAUUCCGCGUGUAGCAGUGAAAUGCGUAGAUAUGCGGAGGAACACCGAUGGCGAAGGCAAUCCCCCUGGACCUGUACUGACGCUCAUGCACGAAAGCGUGGGGAGCAAACAGG